AGUUGAAACAGAGUGCUGGGCUCGUCCAUAACCCUAGAGAGAGGAUGACCACCAGUUUGCUAGUUUUUUGCUUUGGGAGUCCACCCAGAAGCCGCAGCAAUAGCGCUGGAGAAAGUAAGCAAAUCCUACCAUCCUAACCAUACUGGGAACACGCUGAGGACUGGUGAUGCCUGAGGAGCCAAGGAGAUGAGCCCUUCCCCCCGGUGGCACAAAGAUGAAGGGGAGGAAGAAGACACUUUCGAAGUGAGAGACGGAAUUUAAAAGGUCCCGAUCAUGGCACUCCUUUCUGCCUAAACCCCGACGUUCCUAGGUCAGCCUGGCUACGCGUUAGUACAAAUCGUGAUGUAGUAGCAGUCACAACCCCGCCCCCAGCAACUGCUAGGCUAAGGCCCCGCCCCCAACCUUCGUCCCGCCCUUAAGGGCGCAAAGGCCCCGCCCUCACCGUGGUACUCAGCCCAUUUGUAGCCACGCACGAUUUCUUUGCACUCCCUCGCCGGAUCCCCGGAAGGCUCUGCUAAGUGGACUCGAAUCAGCACGUACUUGAAGACGCCAUCCGAAUCAAUGUCCACAUCAGGAAUCUGACCUAGGUCCGCCGCCAUGUUCCCCAAAGCGCUCGGUCUCUGGGCCCCACAGCCCCUUACCCAACCCGACCGAGGCCUAUGCGCAGGGAGGCGGGCCCUUUGGCAGCCCCGGCCAAUCCCGUGAGGGAAUGCUUCCCGGGGCCCAGAGCCUCAGCCAGUUGUACCUCCAACCUGAGGCACGGACUGGCCAAUUGCAACCCAGUUCUUUGCAGCUUUGGGGAUCGUGAGUCCCAGUUAAAGGAGCCGAGGCAUAGGUUAAUCCGUGGUGCUGUAAAUCAAGCCGCUGCAGGUGGGCAGCGAAAGAGGAUGCAAGGACGCACCCCGGCUCCACUCCUGGGUCCUAAGGCUUCAAUCUGUAAACCAUAAAUCUGAAGUCCUCUCUUCCCCAACACCCGUAAA